GUGCUUGCUUCAGCAGCAUAUAUACUAAAAUUGGAACUAUACAGAGAAAUUAGCAUGGCCCCUGCGCAAGGAUAACACUCAAAUUUGUGAAGUGUUCCAUAUUUUU